rnacentral:rRNA from 1 species
CGACGGGUGAGUACACGUGGGCAAUCUGCCCUUCACUCUGGGACAAGCCCUGGAAACGGGGUCUAAUACCGGAUAACACUCUGUCCCUCAUGGGGCGGGGUUAAAAGCUCCGGCGGUGAAGGAUGAGCCCGCGGCCUAUCAGCUUGUUGGUGGGGUAAUGGCCUACCAAGGCGACGACGGGUAGCCGGCCUGAGAGGGCGACCGGCCACACUGGGACUGAGACACGGCCCAGACUCCUACGGGAGGCAGCAGUGGGGAAUAUUGCACAAUGGGCGAAAGCCUGAUGCAGCGACGCCGCGUGAGGGAUGACGGCCUUCGGGUUGUAAACCUCUUUCAGCAGGGAAGAAGCGAAAGUGACGGUACCUGCAGAAGAAGCGCCGGCUAACUACGUGCCAGCAGCCGCGGUAAUACGUAGGGCGCAAGCGUUGUCCGGAAUUAUUGGGCGUAAAGAGCUCGUAGGCGGCUUGUCACGUCGGAUGUGAAAGCUCGGGGCUUAACCCCGAGUCUGCAUUCGAUACGGGCUAGCUAGAGUGUGGUAGGGGAGAUCGGAAUUCCUGGUGUAGCGGUGAAAUGCGCAGAUAUCAGGAGGGAACACCA